CCAGGCUCACCCGGAUCCCCCGGCCCUCCCGGAUCUCCCAGGCUCACCCGGAUCCCCCAGGCCCUCCCGGAUCGCGGGGAAGGGGCUCUCCCGCUGCCCUCACAGCCCUCUCUAAUACAGUUCCCAGUGAAGUCAGUGAAGCGAGUCCCGUUCGCUUGAAGAAAGUAGACAUCUAUUGGUAAAUAAAGGAGUGUGAUCACAGGACCACAAGGACCCUGCCUUCAGGUUAGCCGUCUAAAAGAACAUUUGGAGCAACAAAGGCAGGUUGGUAUGCAGGACCAUGAUUUCCUUGUGGACGCCAUUUUCAUUGCAGAUAACCAGUUACUGAGUUACUCCUGAAAGGAUGAAGAAUGUAUUUUUAAAAAUACCUGUUCAGGGAAUCACAGAACUCACUAUGACAUGGGAUGAAGAGAGGAUAGACAGCUUUGCUCUAAGGAGGAAUGAAUUUUUUCUUCAGACCCUUAGAUUUAGAAACAUUCCCUUUCUUCAUCCAGGCACAAGCAGGGUACACCUCAACAGGAAGAACAAGUGAAUAAGGUCAGGAUGUAACCUUUAUAUACCCAGAAAUAUUAUUAAUUUCUAACAUGAUAAAACAACACCAUUUUGUGAGAAAAUGCAGCAUGCAGCAAGGAGAAAGAGAUGGGGAGGGGGGAAGAGAUUUUCUUACCUUUACAUCUGAGAAGUAGGUUUUCAGCAUAUUGGAACUUGGGUACCGGGUGUAAAAGAACAUGAGCUUGGCCUUUUUCAAGUGAUUCGGUGACAAGCCUUCCUGCAUGUAGGAUUGAAUUAGUAAAGGAAAAUUCUUUUCUCGAGAGAGCUGUUUCUGAACGUACGGAGCUAGCAAAGUGCCCCAUUGAAUGCUAUACGGUUCCCCAGACCACAGGAGAAAGUAUUAAUCUUUGAACUGCUGCUCUGUAAUUUUCUGUGAAAAGGGCAGACAUGGGACGAGAGGCCAUGUAACUUAAACCCUGUGUCUCCUAUCUCUUUAGGUGCUGGGUCUCAGGGACCUUGCAAGUUUACGGAUUGUGUGCCAUAUGUACGUUCACUUGUUGCUACGGAAACAAAUGCAGGAAGCAUGUGCCGCAGAAAACUUAUCGGGAGCUUUUUUCUCCUUCUCCUUUGCAACGCCAGCUAAAGUUUCUUUUCCUCUCGGUGUUGUGCCGCUUGCACACAUUAAAACCAAUGCAUGUAAGAAUCAGAGGCACUUUAUGAUUUUGAGCAGUUUUACACAGGCAGCACAUUUCACCUGUUCCAUUCGUGUCGAUAAAUUUUAACAUCUCCGGUAGCUCUCUCUAGUCCUGCUGCUGCUUUGCUCCAGUGGCUGCCCUGCAAAUCAAAGUGAAAUUUGUAGUAGACAGAGCCCCUUGGCCGCCGAAUCCCUCUGCCACAAACUUGUCACCUCCAGAUUUACACAGUUAACUCCUUGGAGAGCGGAGCUGUAUUUAGGGCUAACCAAUCAAUACGUGUGGGCUAGCAGAUCAAUAAAUGGCCACUUACCCUAUAAGGCAGCCUAUUUAUCCUGGAAACAUCAUUACCUUUUAGAUCUGUAAACAGAAGCAACUAAAAGAGUUCCCAAGGGAAUGUGAAGCUAACCAUAACAAUCUCAGCUUGCUGAUUUUUCUCCCAGCUUCUUGGCUCCCUUUUGUGAACUGCGUGCUAGGACGGCUCUGGUCACAUCUGUGCCGCAGGCUGGCCCUGCCAUUUCCUCAGCAAAUUAAUGGCUUUAUAAUUUAUCAGAAAUGAAGAUGCACGUGGAGAAAAUCAAUGUGGCCCCCACAAGGUCAAUUAAGGGUUCUUCCCAGAAGCUUCUCUAAGGACUGUUUCUCCUAAACACAAUUGUUGAAAAUUUCGCUCGGUUCACACCUUACGGCGGGGGAAGGUCAACCAAGUUGGCAGAUGUGCUGCAGCCAAGGUGCCUCCUCUGCCUUACAGCCGGGUGCACGUCAGCACAGAGCAUCCCACUCCAGGCCUAGAGACAGGAAACCCAGACUAAUUUCUAUCAGCAGCCUACUGAUGAUUAGCUAGGCUUUUCCAGCAAAAUUCCUUUUUCUCUAAUUCCUGAAAUCUGCUGAAACCCUCUCCCUUUAUUUCAGUUACAAGGUUCAUUUUUAGAUUAGAAAAAUGUAGCAUAUAUUAAAAAAAAAAAAAAAAGACAUUGACAAUAUUAGUUUAAAAACCUCUUAUUAUCUGGAAGUACAUGGAAAAUGGCUCAGCUGAACUUGCAUUUUGUUUUAGAUGCUUAAUGAUUACAAAGAAGAUAAUUUAUGACUGACAUACUUCUUGUGCCAAGAGAAGAGUUGAAAGAACCUCCAGUUACCUCCAUUAGACUGAUAGAGAAGUCUAAAAGAGCAUUACACUCUGCAGUGCCAUCUGUCAAAAUACGUAAGUGAAAUAAUAGUAGCAAGCUGUCACCUAUUGCUUAGUGAUAAGAGUUUUAGACAAAUCAAAACUUCUAUGCCAGAAAUCCAUUUUGUUAUGCGAUCCUUUCAGGAAAGUGGGGGUCCAAAGGGGAACUCCAGUAGGAGAGAAAAAAAAGGUAAUCCCGAGUCUCCUUAAUUUGCAAUUCCUCUGACGCCAACAACACGUUAACAUCGGGUUUGGUGUAUAUUCUCUUACAAUGCAAGCUCAAGGAUGGACUUAAACUUAAAAAAAAAAACCCUCAUAUUUGCUGGAUUUAAGCAUAUUAGACAGUUGUCUAAGCAUUUGGAUUCCUUCUGCAUUUAGGAUUUUUAAAUAUUUUCUGCUCUAAUGCCAGAGGAUAUUGAUAUUGAAAGAAACAUGUAUUAAAAGAUGCUCUGAGACUCAAAUUCCCAGAAAUCCAUUUUUUAUUAAAAUUAUACUUGUUCUUAAGCACUUGGCAGCCUUAAAGCAAUAUCAAAUAUGCAACAAAUCUGUAUAUCUUGAUCCUAAGGUUAACGCUUUACUGUGAUAAAAGAUAUGAUCUGUAAUAAUCUAGCAAAAAAUAGUUAAUGACAGACUUAAGAGGUAAGAAUUAGAUAACCCAUUGCUAUUUCAGAAAAAAAAAACCCCAAACCAAAAAACUAAACUGACCAAUUGCUUAAUUUCCUUUUUAAGUGCUUGGGCUGAAAAGCAACUGUUCUUCCAAGAAAGCACUAGCUGUUUCCAGGAUACUUACACACGCACAAUGACUCAUGAUGAAAUAGAUUCAGUAAACAUACAGCUGUACCGAACACGAGCUAAGCCCCAUUCAAGGCCAGGAAAGAAAACGAGCACAAAUAAAUAUUAAGGAGGUAAAGGGAGGAGGGGUGCCGAAUGGAACGCAAACAAGCUCUGUCCCAGCAGCUCGUGUGGCUUGCCUCAAUUCUCUUAGCUAUAGCUUUGUGAAGACAGAUGACAUUCAAUUCUAUGGGUAAUGCAAAAUAGACAAUAACUGCUGAAACUUGAGCCAGCUGCCAGGUGUAAAAAAAAAAAAAAAAAAAAAAAAAAAAAAAAGGAAAGGAAAAAAAAAGGAGAGAAAGAAAAGAUGAUAAAUCCAUAAAUUAAUGAAAGACAUCUGCUCAGGAACAUAAAAGAUCAGAGGAACAGUGUACUGCAGCUGAACCUAAAGCAGUGUUCAAACAACCUGAGAGUCUCAGAGUUGUGGGUUUACACAGUACAACGCUGCCUCAGCUAACACAGCAGCAGCAGAAAAAUGGCAAAGCCCUAAGAAAUGGGAAGUGGAGACUGGGAACAAAACAUAUGAGGACAAAACAUAUACAUGCUCUUGUGUGUUUUAACAGGAGAAGCACAGGGGUGGCACUGCACAGCAUUUGAUUCAUUUGCACUUCAAUCCUCCUCCUAGGUAAUGCUCCUCUUUUGCAAAAAUAUUUUUCAGCAGAGAUGAUCUUUCACUCCUGCUACUCUCAGCCUGAGCCCCCACAAAUGCUCUAACAGGAUUUUCUAGCCCACGCAUGCACUGAGCUGAAGGAAAAGUGGUAAGAAUAGGAGGUAUCAGAUAAAAAAAAAAUCUGAAGCAGCAAAGCCAAGUUGCUCCUUAAGUUACACCUCAGGUACUUUUAAUCAGCAAAGCUCCAAAUAAAUGCACCUCAGAGCAUCUUCAAGUCCCACCAAAGAAGGGCUGGCUGGCUGCAAAGCAUUUGUUCAUGGCCCAGGUUUUAUCAACAGCACGGAGUUAUCCAGCUUACUGUACAUUCUCUUUUUUUUUUUUUUAAGUUUAAUUAGUUUAAUUCUAGUCAGAUGUAAUAACUCCUCAUUUCAAAAUGUUGUAAUUCAGUAAUUAUAGCUUUUGCAUAUUGUGACUUUGAAAGUUAUUCCAGUUGGAUUGGAAUUCUGUUUAAAAAUAAAUAAAAUUGUAGAAAGUUGCACUAAUGUUUCUAAGCUCUCCUGCCAGGGAGAACACACUAAACUUCUUCACCUUUACAGAUGUCUUAACAGCACACAAACUGCUGUUGUGCUUCAAUUUUGAUCUAUGCAAAUGUUUUGUGACUGAACAAGGCUAUUUUUCUUGAGAUGCAAAGAGGAUGCAUGACAAAGAAAGAUCACGCAGAAAAACAAUUCACUGUCUGUUUCUUUUUGAAUUUGAAUAAAACUUAAUAUUUGAUUAAACAGAUUAGUUUGCAAAGAUACAGACUGCAUUCAUGACCAAGAUGGGAAUUCAGACUGCAGGUGCAUCUUAUCUUGUUUAGCAACAUACACAAACAUUAACCAUUUCCUUCUGCAAUUCAGCAAAGAAUGAUCAGAUACAUUUUACACCCCUUGGUUUAAAAAAAAAAAAAUCCAAGAAAACAAAACCUGAACUUGGCUGUAUCUGCUGGUCUUAUGUUCUCAUCCUGGCUGCAUUGUCCAGGAAAGCAGAUGUUACUUUCUGCAGGGAAGAAAGAUCUGCCUCUUUCAAGAAAUUUAUUCCCUAUACGUGUACAUUCAACCAUGUAAAAUAAAAGUGCCAUGACAGAAUUGACCAGAAACAAACCAACCUCCACACCACGCCUUUCCCUGGAAAACUGUAAGCUACCUGGACACAUGAAAAAAACAUUCAUCCCUACAGCUGAGCUGUACAGCAGGGUACACGUGUAGAAGCGUUAUUUAAUAAACCCGGUCUGUAUCUAAACUCAGAACAAACUGCAGUCUGCACUAGUGCCGAGGUGGGAAAGUCAGAGUGCUUUCCCAGUGGCAGGGAAAGAAGCAGGGCAGCAAAAAAUAAAAGGGAUGACUGUAGCACCAGGCAUUUCUCCUGGCUAUCCCUUGGAGCAACAGGGGAGCCUUGCACCCCUGUUUCAGCAGAAGCAACAAGCUCCAUUAGCGAGCAUCAGUGAGAAUGAGCAGCAGAAAGGGGAAGAAAUGGGAGGGGUGGGGGAGACAUGCUCCACGGGUGGUGAGGAUCAAGGGCAGCCCUAGAACUACUCCUAGUUCACCUCCCCUCACUGCUCUCCCAGGAUGGGAGAACUACUUUUAUACAAAAACAAUUAGUAUGCCACUGUACUGUUUGGUAGAAAUUAAUUGCCCUGGCCUGAGUCUUGCCCUCAGCUGCCUCUCCUGGUGACCUCAGGACUGCUUUCCAAGCGCUGCUCUUGCAUUUCAAUAUGCAGGAGAAAUCUUUUGUUUGGAACUCCCCAGGUAAUUGGCACCACCUCUGAGUGAUGUUGCAUCUAGACUGCCUCCUCUCUAUUGCCUUACAAUGUAGACAGUGAGGAGAUUUCCCCCUGCUACCAAAGGCUCAACAAGAACAUUUUCUGGGGAAGAGGUACCUCAAGCACCACAUCCACUACCAGCUGGUUCUCAAAACCAGUAACACCUAAAGAAGGUGCUGUUCAACACAAAACACUUUCCCUUAUAGGAAUGGGAUUAUUCACACAGGUUAGACAGCACCAACCCCAACUCAGACUAGACCCAAGCUGGAUCAGAGUGACGCUAAUGGGCUUUGGACCUGCAGCGCCUGCCUUGCCCCAGGGGUGUCCACUACCAUGGGAGGCGUAGGAAAUCCAGGUAACCAGCAGGUCUGGAGCCCUGACAGCACCCUCCUGAGGAUUUAACAAGUCUAUAGAAGAUGUAGUUAAAUUAUUCUAAAACCACCAGGGUUGUCAAUCACCCAGAAGAUACAGCCUUGGGCAUCUGCCUCUGCAGAAUACCUCUCCAAGGGAUGCAAGUUCCUCACCAUUCCUACUAUUACCCAGAGAGGGGCAGAGCUAUUCUGUUGCAAUUAGUUUCAUCAUCUUGGGAGUGAAAUUAGAUACAUCUAAGGCUUGGUGCUUGUGUUGCUGCCUUCUGCUGGGGUCUCUAAACUGGGAAAAAUUAUCCAUCUACUCGCUCUUCAUGCAAAAUCCUCAAUUUUAGCAUUGUACCUGGAACUUUUGACCAAAAAUCACAUUAUAGGAGAAGAUGGAAGAACUGGGAGGCAUUGCUGCUACAAGAGAAAAAAAAAAGAAAAACCGAAAAACCAACCGAAAAACCAACCAAAAAAACCUCGUACUAGUUUCCAGGCAGAAAAAAAAAAGGGAAAAAAAAGAUUACUAUGUCUGGAUAUGCCUAAAUAAAGGCAGAGAUGAACUUGUUGCCCUAAGUAUAGCCUGCUAUUGAGCUAAAAUGAGCAAUUUUAUUAUCUCUUUUUUUUUUUUCCUUAAGCAGGGGAAGUGUCCUGUAAAUUUAAUACAGCUGAAGUUUUAUAUUUAAUUGUUCUCUCUAGCUUUCCAAAAUAAUUUGCUUUGUGUAUGUUAGGACAAAAGAUUUCUGUGUAUGGCUGAACAGAGGUUAAUCAUGCAUAGCAGGCAGCUGCACAAGGGCUGAGGAACAGACCUCUGGGUGGGGGAAAGAACUUGAUGCAGCCUGAAUAUAUCAGUACCUGUGUCUUUUGUGCUUCCUUUCCCUUACACACUUGAGAGCUGAACUCUCACAGACGGCCGGAUAGUGGCUCUCUGAGAGCCCCAGCCACUACACCAUUAACACGGAUUAUGCACUGGCCUGGCAGGGCAGGGAAAAGAGGUGGCCUGGCCGUAGCUGGAAUGGUUUUUGGCCGAGGGCAAUGCCCCCUCGAUCACCUCCCUGCCUGAGGAAAGAUCUGCCAGCCCAGGGAAACCCACUGGCACUCAGGUCAUGCGUUUGGCUGCCUUCCUGACCCCACGAGGCGGGCUAAAGGCUGGGGGAGGGCCAGUGGCUUUUGUAGGUGAGCACCAUUGCUGAAAGAGCACUGUCAGCCAACACCACAUGUUUUAUUUGGCCUCGCCAAGCUCCCGCCCCAGCACCCCGUGAACACCCCACUCCUGCAGCACCUGGGGGAGCCCCCUGGCACCGGCAUGGCCCCUCGUCCU